rnacentral:rRNA from 1 species
UACGUAGGGUGCAAGCGUUGUCCGGAAUUAUUGGGCGUAAAGAGCUCGUAGGCGGUUCGUCGCGUCGGCUGUGAAAACCCGGAGCUCAACUCCGGGCCUGCAGUCGAUACGGGCGGACUUGAGUGUUGCAGGGGAGACUGGAAUUCCUGGUGUAGCGGUGAAAUGCGCAGAUAUCAGGAAGAACACCCGUGGCGAAGGCGGUUCUCUGGAACGCAACUGACGCUGAGACGCGAAAGCGUGGGGAGCAAACAGG